UGGGGAAUAUUGCACAAUUGGCGAAAGCCUGAUGCAGCAACGCCGCGUGAGUGAUGAAGGCCUUCGGGUUGUAAAACUCUGUCUUCUGGGACGAUAAUGACGGUACCAGAGGAGGAAGCCACGGCUAACUACGUGCCAGCAGCCGCGGUCAUACGUAGGUGGCAAGCGUUGUCCGGAUUUACUGGGCGUAAAGAAUGCGUAGGCGGAUAUUUAAGUCAGAUGUGAAAUCCCCGAGCUUAACUUGGGGGCUGCAUUUGAAACUGGAUAUCUAGAGUGCGGGAGAGGUAAGUGGAAUUCCUAGUGUAGCGGUGAAAUGCGUAGAGAUUAGGAAGAACACCAGUGGCGAAGGCGACUUACUGGACCGUAACUGACGCUGAGGCAUGAAAGCGUGGGGAGCAAACAGG
rnacentral:rRNA from 1 species